UUCCUUAUGUUGCAGGUAUUUAUCAGAUCUAAUCUUUCAAAUAGUAAUGAAAGACUCCUGGAGCAGGGAGACCCUCACUCAAGUCUCAGGAUGACGUGACCCCCCAAGAACUCACCUGAGACC
rnacentral:pre_miRNA from 14 species